UACGUAGGGACCAAGCGUUGUUCGGAUUUACUGGGCGUAAAGGGCGCGUAGGCGGCGUGACAAGUCACUUGUGAAAUCUCCGGGCUUAACUCGGAACGGUCAAGUGAUACUGUUGUGCUAGAGUACAGAAGGGGCAAUCGGAAUUCUUGGUGUAGCGGUGAAUGCGUAGAUAUCAAGAGGAACACCAGAGGCGAAGGCGGAUUGCUGGGCUGAUACUGACGCUGAGGCGCGAAAGCUAGGGUAGCAAACGGG
rnacentral:rRNA from 1 species